AUACGUAGGGGGCAAGCGUUGUCCGGAAUUACUGGGCGUAAAGAGCUCGUAGGCGGCUCAGCAAGUCGGUCGUGAAAGCCCGAGGCUCAACCUCGGAACUGCGGUCGAUACUGCUAUGGCUAGAGUCCGGUAGAGGAGAGUGGAAUUCCCGGUGUAGCGGUGGAAUGCGCAGAUAUCGGGAGGAACACCAGUGGCGAAGGCGGCUCUCUGGGCCGGUACUGACGCUGAGGAGCGAAAGCGUGGGGAGCAAACAGGAUUAGAAACCCUAGUAGUCC
rnacentral:rRNA from 1 species